GGCCGCGUGGCGAAAUGGCAUCGCCGAUCUAUGAAAACUUGGUGACAUCAGGAGAUUGCAGGUUCGAAACCUGCCCCGGUCA